rnacentral:ribozyme from 1 species
AGUUCGUUUAGUUCUGUAAAAGAGUUGGAUCCGACGCCCCUAGAAGGGUACUAUAGGCUCUCCUUUCAACUCCUACUCAAUACGUCCACGACGUGCAGAACGGUAACUUGUAGCCUAGAUCCAAGCUUGGAUCCAAGCUUGAAGGAAACUCGGAACAUGGAACUGCAGA